rnacentral:rRNA from 1 species
AGCGAACGCUGGCGGCAGGCCUAACACAUGCAAGUCGAACGAACCUUUCGGGGUUAGUGGCGGACGGGUGAGUAACACGUGGGAACGUGCCUUUAGGUUCGGAAUAACUCAGGGAAACUUGUGCUAAUACCGAAUGUGCCCUUCGGGGGAAAGAUUAAUCGCCUUUAGAGCGGCCCGCGUCUGAUUAGCUAGUUGGUUGAGGUAAUGGCUCACCAAGGCGACGAUCAGUAGCUGGUCUGAGAGGAUGAUCAGCCACAUUGGGACUGAGACACGGCCCAAACUCCUACGGGAAGCAGCAGUGGGGAAUAUUGCGCAAUGGGCGAAAGCCUGACGCAGCCAUGCCGGGUGAAUGAUGCAGGUCUUAGGAUUGUAAAAUUAUUUCACCGGGGACGAUAAUGACGGUACCCGGAGAAGAAGCCCCGGCUAACUUCGUG